rnacentral:rRNA from 1 species
AGUGAACGCUGGCGGUAGGCCUAACACAUGCAAGUCGAACGGAAGCACAGUAAGAGCUUGCUCUUACGGGUGGCGAGUGGCGGACGGGUGAGGAAUACAUUGGGCUCUACUUUUUCGUGGGGGAUAACGUAGGGAAACUUACGCUAAUACAGCAUACGACCUACGGGUGAAGGCAGUGGAACUUCGGAGCUUGCGCGGUUGAAUGAGCCGAUGUCGGAUUAGCUAGUUGGCGGGUUAAAGGCCCACCAAGGGGACGAUCCGUAGCUGGUCUGAGAGGAUGAUCAGCCACACUGAAACUGAGACACGGUCUAGACUCCGACGGGCGGCAGCAGUGGGUAAGAGUGGACAAUGUGCGCAAGCCUGAUCCAGCCAUACCGCGUGGGUGAAGAAGGCCUGCGUGUUGUAAAGCCCUUUUGUUGGGAAAGAAAAGCAGCAGGUUAAUACCCGCUGUUCUGACGGUACCCAAAGAAUAAGCACCGGCUAACUUCGUG